UAUGUCAUUUUUACCUUCUGGAUUUGCAUGUUCAUAUGAUAUCUGUUAUAUUAAUUAUAUCUAUUUUCACAGGUAUAGACAGACAUACCCCAGAGUUGUGGCACCCAUUAAUAGAUCAAACAAGCCUGUGCAGCUGUGUUUUGAUCAGUGGAAAGGCUUCCUGGCAUCCAAGAACUGAAAUCACCUUUUGGGAGUUUCAGCUAGGACUACUGUGGGUUGGGAACCAGGAGUUCCCCACUCUGGUUCCUGAGCUGCUGGAGAGUGGCUGCACCAACACACUAAGCCCAGGCACACUUCUUCACAUUUAUCUGAGGUUAGCGCAUUCCUUUAUUUAACUGUCUCUGAUCUGACUAUAUCUGAUCAUUCCUUCAUCUCAUUUUCACUUAACCUUUUGCCCUCUACACAGACUAAGCAUCCUAUCACGUAUCACCCCAGGGACCAUCUUCUUCCCCCAUUCCUCCUUCCUCCACUCUUUCUCCAAUUUAGGUGCUUUAUGCCACUUCUAGUAAUUUACCUGAUUACAUGGAAGGAACUGUAGAUCUUUUUAUAAUUGCUGUUUUACUUAAAACAUUGAUUUCUUAGCUCCUGUCUGGUUUCAGAUCAUUACACCUCGCUGGAGUUUUCUCUGGUUUAAUGUGCAACUCGGAAAGCACAGAGGGGACUGGAGCGUGAGGCUCAGUGUACGUUCUUGUAUUUGAAAGCAGCUCUGUAGCAUCCACAAGAGGAUUCCUGGCACUUGCGUAGUUAAGCUGGAUGUCCAAUGUUAUCUCUCCAGCUAUGUUAACUCUUCUCUCACCCAAGGCAAGAUCUCACGCCCCAAUGGGAUAUAAUGAAAAUAUGCUUUUGAAAUUUUCUUUGACGUCACCUUCUGACAGCGUGUCUGACUGGGGUUCAGGCAGAGGUGUCAAUACUGAGCCCACUGCCGGGGCUCCUCUGGCGUGGCCCAGCAGCAGAACGCCAGCCCUCCCGGGCCGCGGAGGGGGCCCUAGCUUCCUGCGCGAGAUCCUGGUAUGGCACGGUGUUUGUCUCACUCUCCCUUUCAUCUGUCGUGUUAUGAUUUGCUCCUGCAGCUUAUAUUCACGUGGAAAUUUUUACUUAAUUUUGUCUACUAACUUUGAACAGAAAAGAAAAUUGGGCUGGAACUUUUCUGUGUGUCUCUUUGCCUUUCUGUAGAAGGAAUGUGCAUGUUCGACRGUGGAAUAUGAAUAUCUUUGGAUGAAUGGCAUUAGAGAAAUCGCCAGAAUUAUUAUUCUGACUUUUAGCCAUGGUAUAACAUGGUCAAUUUUGUCUUUCAUUUAACAUGACAGGUAGUAUAGAGGGCAAAGCGACAUAGUAUGUUGAUAGAUGGGGUAUUGCUGUGGUUGAGUUUGCCAAAAUUAACACAUUUCCCUUUGGAAAAAAAAACUUUGAAAAAGUUACUCUUUUCUGAGUACACGCAUUUUAUGUUAGAGCCUUAGAGCUGAUUCUGUCUCUCCGAAGUUAUAAAACCCUUAUGGAUGUACCAUAAAGAUGUCCACCUAAUGCACAGAAAAGCAGAUUAAUUGAUCACAGUAAUAUAUUCUUAUCCACUGAAUAAGAGCAUUCCACACAUUGUUUCUUGUUUUGUUUCUGGCUUGUAAAUCUUCAUUGUAGGAUACAAAUGAAAAUGACCCAAAUAUGUAUUAUUUAUGAAUAGGACUCUCAGAUAUUAUGCUUUAGAUUGAUUGUGUUAGACAGGAUAUAACAGAAGCACAAUAAGUCAAUGAAAAAUAAAAAGCAGCAAAAAUGUUUCA
ensembl:lncRNA